UCUCACUCUUAUUUUUGCUGUUAGGGUGUUGGUGAAGGGGCAAAAUACAUUCAAAUCACUGAUCCCACGCUGCAGGUUUUCCUAAAUCAAGGAUAAGAGCGCCAAGCAGGCCUCCAGGCCCACCAUGUUGGUUAGGCCAACACAGGUUACGACCACUAAGUGGGAUUGAGUACCCUCUGCCAGCGAUGGUCAACGGAAGACUCAAGAUAAGAAGCUGCUAUCAAAGGCCGAGCCACAACGUCCAACUCACCCCGGCAGGCUUGUCAGCUGACCCAUCAGUUCCUUCCCAAGGCUAUGCGUGGCCACAGCCUUCAUCCUCGACAAUGAACUUUACGACCUGGGCGCAGGCGACGAGGCAUGAUGGAGCAGUUACAGAAGUACAGGAGCUCAGCGCAGUUUGAGAUGAUCAAGAUGCUGCAGAAGAGCAGUGUACAGCAGCUCUGUGCUUGCACUGAUGCUCCUGAUUCACGCUGUGGAACCAGCAGAGGUUGAGGCAGCAUUCCUUCUUCGUGUGCCUAUUCUUCAAGGCAGGUUGGAUUAUUGAUGACCAGUACAGCCCCCUUUUUGAUUUUGCAUGCCAAAGAAAGGCACCACUUUUGACCCAUUUUGAUGGCUUGCGGACUUAAGGGAAUUUUCUUUUCAGAAGGCCUGUUGAAAUCUUUGGAUUUUUGCCCGAUGUUCCAUGUGUUAAGUAAUUUCAAUCAUAUUAUUUAACGAGAACAAGAACAUUUAGUACAAAAUACUCCAAAAUGGUUAACGAACAUCAGGCAACAACCAACAUGUUAACUGAUGGGAGCACAGAGUUGUUAACUAG